CCAUGCAGGCGCCCAGGUGUUGCGCACACGGCGCUGGUCUAACCGGCACUGCAACAGGCAGGUGAUGUUGGGGAAGGAAUGCAGUUACAGUAAUCCACACGAUAGCACGGUUUGCGUAGCACUGAGCGUCUCCAAAUCCGUUCCAGAUGCUUUUCAACAAAAAUUUUUGUCGAAUAGAAACCACGAAACGUUGUUUUGCACAACUCGACGAACGAUCGACAAAUGCGCGACGCGGCAGAGGCUGACUCUGAGGCAGCCAGAGAGCCAGAGACGACAACAGACAACCAGACAGAGGCAGUGGUACAAUGGGGAAAGGGGGGCUGUCAUAUGGAGGGGGGCUGCUAGCCAUAGCAGAUAGUGCUGUAUGCGGGCGCUCAGUUCAAUUGAAGAGCGUGAGAGCCAUUAAUAAUAUUGGCGCGUUUGCAAACAACACCAGGAAAACCCAACACGACGAGCGGCGCAUAAAAGAUCAGCCGGCAGCAGCAACAUCAGCAACAACAACAACAACAACAACAGCAACAUCAGCAACAACAACAACAACAACAACAAACCCGAACCCGAACCAAAUAAAAACAUAAUUCAUUUGAUGUACUCACGCGCUCUGAAAAGCACGCCAAUAACUUAAUGAAUGGGCCAUCAAAUAUUUAGAUUCAAGUCGUA